rnacentral:rRNA from 1 species
AGGAUUAACGCUGGCGGCGUGCAUGAAACAUGCAAGUCGAGCGCGGUGUGAUGCGGGGUAACCCAAUUCACAUCUAGCGGCGAACGGGUGAGUAACACGUGAGCAACCUACCUUUGAGUUGGGGAUAGCCCUGGGAAACCAGGAUUAAUACCCGAUGUGGUCACAACAGGACAUCCUGAUGUGAGUAAAGGCGCAAGCCGCUCAAUGACGGGCUCGCGGCCUAUUAGCUUGUUGGUGGGGUAACGGCCUACCAAGGCGAUGAUGGGUAGCUGGUCUGAGAGGACGAUCAGCCACACUGGGACUGAGACACGGCCCAGACUCCUACGGGAGGCAGCAGUUAGGAAUUUUCCGCAAUGGGCGAAAGCCUGACGGAGCAACGCCGCGUGAGUGAUGAAGACCUUAGGGUUGUAAAGCUCUGUCGGAGGGAAGAACACAAUGACGGUACCUCCAAGAAAGCCCGGCUAACUACGUGCCAGCAGCCGCGGUAA